AACGCGAAGAACCUUACCUGGGCUUGAACCGCACAGGACCAGUUCUAGAAAUAGGACCUUCCCGCAAGGGACCUGUGUAGAGGUGCUGCAUGGCUGUCGUCAGCUCGUGCCGUGAGGUGUUGGGUUAAGUCCCGCAACGAGCGCAACCCUUACUCUUAGUUGCCACCCGCAAGGGGGAACUCUAAGAGGACUGCUCCGGAUAACGGAGAGGAAGGUGGGGAUGAGGUCAAGUCAGCAUGGCCUUUAUGUCCAGGGCUACACACGUGUUACAAUGCGCGCCACAAAGCGUUGCAAACCCGCGAGGGGGAGCUAAUCGCAAAAAAGCGCGCUCAGUUCGGAUUGCAGUCUGCAACUCGACUGCAUGAAGCCGGAAUCGCUAGUAAUGGCGCAUCAGAACGGCGCCGUGAAUACGUUCCCGGGCCUUGUA
rnacentral:rRNA from 1 species